rnacentral:rRNA from 1 species
UGGGGAAUAUUGGACAAUGGGCGCAAGCCUGAUCCAGCCAUGCCGCGUGAGUGAAGAAGGCCCUAGGGUUGUAAAGCUCUUUCACCCGCGAAGGUGAUGACGGUAGCGGGAGAAGAAGCCCCGGCUAACUCCGUGCCAGCAGCCGCGGUAAUACGGAGGGGGCUAGCGUUGUUCGGAUUUACUGGGCGUAAAGGGCGCGUAGGCGGAUGUUCGCGUCAGAGGUGAAAGCCCCGGGCUCAACCUGGGAACUGCCUUUGAAACGGGACAUCUUGAGUUCGGGAGAGGGUAGCGGAAUUCCCAGUGUAGAGGUGAAAUUCGUAGAUAUCACGCAGAACCCCGAUUGCGAAGGCAGCUUACUGGACCGUUAUUGACGCUGAGGCACGAAAGCGUGGGGAUCAAA